rnacentral:rRNA from 1 species
UGUGUAGGUGGCGCGCUAAGUCGGGUGUGAAAUUUCGGAGCUUAACUCCGAAACUGCAUUCGAUACUGGCGUGCUUGAGGACUGGAGAGGAGACUGGAAUUUACGGUGUAGCAGUGAAAUGCGUAGAUAUCGUAAGGAAGACCAGUGGCGAAGGCGGGUCUCUGGACAGUUCCUGACACUGAGACACGAGGGCCAGGGGGAGCAAACG